rnacentral:rRNA from 1 species
AUUGAACGCUGGCGGCAGGCUUUACACAUGCAAGUCGAACGAGUGGCGGACGGGUGAGUAAUAUCUGGGAAAGUGCCCGAUGGCGGGGGAUAACUACUGGAAACAGUCGCUAAUACCGCAUACCAUUGUAUGUGCCCAGAUGGGAUUAGCUAGUAGGUGGGGUAACGGCUCACCUAGGCCACGAUCCAUAGCUGGUCUGAGAGGAUGACCAGCCACACUGGAACUGAGACACGGUCCAGACUCCUACGGGAGGCAGCAGUGGGGAAUAUUGCACAAGGGGCGCAAGCCUGAUGCAGCCAUGCCGCGUGUAUGAAGAAGGCCUUCGGGUUGUAAAGUACUUUCAGCGAGGAGGCGUUACUCGCAGAAGAAGCACCGGCUAACUCCGUGCCAGCAGCCGCGGUAAUUC